CCGAGUUUACAACUCCCAAACCCAAUGUGAACGUUACCAAACUGUUGCCUCGGCGGGAUCUUCUGCCCCGGGUGCGUCGCAGCCCCGGACCAAGGCGCCCGCCGGAGGACCAACCCAAAACUCUUAUUGUAUACCCCUCGCGGGUUUUUUAUAAUCUGAGCCUUCUCGGCGCCUCUCGUAGGCGUUUCGAAAAUGAAUCAAAACUUUCAACAACGGAUCUCUUGGUUCUGGCAUCGAUGAAGAACGCAGCGAAAUGCGAUAAGUAAUGUGAAUUGCAGAAUUCAGUGAAUCAUCGAAUCUUUGAACGCACAUUGCGCCCGCCAGUAUUCUGGCGGGCAUGCCUGUCCGAGCGUCAUUUCAACCCUCGAACCCCUCCGGGGGGUCGGCGUUGGGGAUCGGCCUCCUCUCACGGGGGCCGUCUCCGAAAUACAGUGGCGGUCUCGCCGCAGCCUCUCCUGCGCAGUAGUUUGCACACUCGCAUCGGGAGCGCGGCGCGUCCACAGCCGUUAAACACCCCAAACUUCUGAAAUGUUGACCUCGGAUCAGGUAGGAAUACCCGCUGAACUUAAGCAUAUCUAA
rnacentral:rRNA from 1 species